rnacentral:lncRNA from 1 species
GGUUUCAGUCUAUCACCCUGACUGGAGUGCAGUAGCAUAAUCAUGGCUUACUGCAACCUCGACCUUACAAGCUCAAGUGAUCCUCUCACCUCAGCCUCCUGAGAAGGUGAGACUACAGGCAUGCACCACCACAUCUGCCUGAUUUUUUCCUUUUUUUUUUUUUGAGACGGAGUCUCACUCUGUCGCCAGGCUGGAGUGCGAUGGCACAAUCUCGGCUCACUGCAACCUCCGCCUUCCAGGUUCAAGUGAUUCUCCUGCUUCAGCCUCCUGAGUAGCUGGGACUACAGGUGCCUGCCACCAUGCCUGGCUAAUUUUUAUAUUUUUAGUAGAGAUGAGGUUUCACCAUGUUGGCCAGGAUGGUCUCGAUCUCUUGACCUCGUGAUCUACCAGCCUCGGCCUCCCAAAAUGCUGGGAUUACAGGCAUGAGCCACCACACCCAGCCUUUUUUCUAUUUUUUAUAGAGAUGGGGUCUCACUAUGUUGCCUAGGCUGGUCUUGAACUCCUGGGUUCAAGCGAUCCUCCUGCCUUGGCCUUCCCAAAUGCUGGGGUUGUAGACCUGAGCCACCAUGCCUGGUCAUCUUUCCCCAGUCUUAGCAUGUGGAUGUGAGAGCUGGAAGAUUCCCAAAGACCUGGCCGGAGACUCCUGUUUGAAGGAGGAGAGGGAAGAGCCUUAAGGGGUUCCCAAGGUUGCACAUCUGGGCAGGGACAGAACAUCAGACACAUUGUACGGCUGCAACAGGCUGGCACUGCUGACAUCACAGACAUCAGGACAGACCAGGAAGACACCCAUCAAAUUCUGGGCUGGAAGAUACGGAAUACUCUGACUUUACCCAAGGCUGAGCCUUCCUCAGAAGCUCCUGAGAAGAAAAGAAUUCAGGGGCCUCAUGAAUGAGGCUCAGAAAUUUGGUGCAAUAAUCACCAAUGAGCCCCAACCCAGGGAAGUGUAACGUAUCACCCCAAUUUUAUAAGGAAGAACACUGAGGCUCAGAGAGGUAAAGUAACCCAUCCAAGAGUCAUAGAGGGGGAUCGUCUGGGUCCAAAGCACAGCAGCCUCAUGGGGAGCACCUUGUACUGUGUCCUGUGCUACCCAUUGGCAAUGCAGACAGCAGGGGGGAUGCGUGCAUCUGGAGGAAGAUUAGCAUCAGCAUUUCACCUGAAGCCUGAGGGCUCAAAGGAAAAUGUUUUACAGGUAGCGGUAGCUCUUCAGAAAACCAGGGAGGGAAGUGACCAGGGAUGUGUCUCUGCUUCUGCAUGGCGUUAUCAUGCAAGCUGUGCAGUGUGCCCCAACUCUCAAGAUCGGAGUCACUGCAGACCACCACCCGCAGCCCCAAAUCUCUACCCUCUGGAAGGACGGAGAACAUAUUCAGGUGCAGACCUCAGCCCUCUGCAUGCAGUAGAGGUGAAAUAAGUCAUCGUGGAAGGAAUGAGUGAAUGGAGAGAAUCUGCGCUCAGAAUCCCAACGAUGGAAUUGGAGGAAUGUGGACCCUGGAGUCUGGAUAAUUUGAGCAUUUCCAAGGAGCAGCCAGCAUCUGUGACUUGCCUAGGGACUUAGUGAGUCCAGCCAGCCCAGAGUCCAGGCCCUGCUGCCCAGCCAACUCCUGGCUGCCCAAAAGCACCAGGCUGUUCUGUAAGUGGAGGGCAACUGCACCUGUCCCGCACUCAGCUUCUGUCUCCUGGACUCUUGCUAACAGCUUCCCAGCUAGUUUCUCACUUUCCACUCGGCCCUUUAACCUAUCCUCUCCUCUCCCACAAAUACAAUCUUUCUGAAGAGCAAACCUGAUCCCAUUCCUCCCUGCUUAAAAUCCUCCCAUGGCUCCCCGCUACCCUGAAGUUAAAGUCUGAUCUGUUUAGUAUAAGCCCACGAAGGCUGACAGUGCUGGCCUUGGAAUACCUCAGCUGUCCCCUCAGGGGACCCAGUGCCCCAGACUUGAAUGGUUUGAAUGAUUCGGAAAACCUGCCUGGUCUCCUGAGUCCAUGCUUUUGCAGAUCCUUGUCCCUCUGCUUCAAACACCCGCUUCCAUCCAUCUAUCCAUCCAUCCAUCCAUCCAUCCAUCCAUCCAUUCAGUAAAUAAUAAUUGUGCUCUCUUUACAUGCCAGGCAUAGUGUGAGUUGCCAAAGUUACAGCAGUCAACAAGACAGUGUUUUUGGCCCCUUGGAGCUUGCGUUAUAGUGGAGGGAGAUACACCUUAGAAAGAGAACAAGCAACAAAAAUAUGUAUGUAUUUUGAAUUGAUGUAAUUAUGUACACACGUGCGCAUGUGUGUGUGUAUGUUUAUAAGUGUAAAAUGCCAUGAGGGAAAUUAAACAGCAUAAUGCGUUGGUCCUUGGGGUGAGGAGACAGUAGCCUUGGAUUACUAAUUCAUUGGGCUAACACUUAUUUGUUUAUCUACACUCCAAUCAGGGGUCACUUCCUCCUGGAAGCCUUCCUGGAUCAGAGCCC